rnacentral:rRNA from 1 species
AUUGAACGCUGGCGGCAUGCUUUACACAUGCAAGUCGAACGGUAACAGGGUGCUUGCACCGCUGACGAGUGGCGAACGGGUGAGUAAUGCGUCGGAACGUGCCGAGUAGUGGGGGAUAACGCAGCGAAAGUUGUGCUAAUACCGCAUACGUACUGAGGUAGAAAGUGGGGGACCUUCGGGCCUCACGCUAUUCGAGCGGCCGACGUCUGAUUAGCUAGUUGGUAGUGUAACGGACUACCAAGGCUACGAUCAGUAGCUGGUCUGAGAGGAUGAUCAGCCACAUUGGGACUGAGACACGGCCCAGACUCCUACGGGAGGCAGCAGUGAGGAAUAUUGCUCAAUGGACGAAAGUCUGAAGCAGCAACGCCGCGUGAGGGAUGAAGGUGCUCUGCAUUGUAAACCUCUGUAGUCGGGGACAAAAAACAGGUUACUACCUGUCUGAUGGUACCCGAAAAGGAAGGAUCGGCUAACUACGUGCCAGCCGCCGCCGUAA